CCGGCGAGCCCCGAGCCUCUGCGUUGCCUCGACUCCCGCUCCCGAUCCGCGCGGUGCGUCCGGCGGCCACCCGGCUCCAGGCACAGGCGGCGGUGGUGGCAGCCGCUUCAGUCCUGGGAGCCGCUCUCCGACGCCUGCCGCCUCCGCCGCCGCCUGGAUCUGCCUCAGGCGGCCGGGAGCGGAGCGAAGGCGCAGGGAGGAAGAGGAGGAGGCGGCGGCGGAGGAGGAGGCGCGGGAGGAGGAGGAGGUGGAGGAGGAGAAGAGUCCAAAGCCAGGCGGAGAACCAAAGUGUAUUAAAGGAGCUGCGGCGGGGGCGGCAUUGAACCCAAGGCUGCCAUUACUGCAAGAAUUAAUGCUUAUUGCCAAGAAAUUAAAAUAAAGGAAACGCAUCGGAAAUGUUCUGAGAGGAAAUCAAGACGGUGAUGAUAAUUCCAAAUAUAAUGCUUUCUUCAUAAACCAUCUAUAAAGAUGGCACAGUUCUCGAUCGACCUUCGCCUGGUUGGCUUGAAAUGUUUUAAGUCUUUGACACAGAAAAUUGUGAAAGGACUCGUCCUCUCCAAAUAAAGAUGAGGAUUUUGUUACUGCUGUUUAUUAAAUUGUUUUCGUUGUGUUUCCACACACACCUUUAAUUCCUCAUAUUUGAACUUCAUUGAAGCUUAAAGAAAAAGUCCAUUUGGAAUUUGAUGGUAGCAUUGUCUUUGAUUGCUUGUACAAGAAAUGACAUUCCUAAGUCUCAUACCGAAGCCCCCUGUUAAACAUCGUUCAUACCAAUGUAAAUGGCGCUAUCUAAUCGACUCUUUUGAGAAUAUUUCUGAUUACUUCCCAGCACCAUCGCCCCGAUAAUGGCUUUGGGCGGUCUACUUUUACUUGGACUGCAAACGAAUUAAGUUGGAAACAUGUUUUAUUGUAUCCCCAAAGGAAAAAAAUCACAUUCUAAUCAUUAUCACUUUUUUUUUUACAAGUAAUGUUACGGAUGGCAGCAAAAUAAAAAAUUUAAAACCCUGGACUUUAAUAUGCGAGCAUUGUGAAACAUCAUAAAUUUCAAAAAAUGCUUUCUUUUAAAAUCUGAAAAGGACACUUUGGGGCACUACAACUCCUAACUUGGGGGGAGGUGUCCCACAUUUCUCUGCCAAAAAGUGAUGCAGGAAAUUUCUAUUAGAAAAAAAUCGAUUUGUUACCAAACCACUGGAAAGGGAUGGGAUUCGCUUUUUUGAAAGCCAGUUUUUAUGGUUUUCAAAUAAGACAUCUUAGAGGUAGACUGGUUUAUUAGAAAACGAUAAGGUGAAAGAUCAUUAGUAAAUGAAAAUCAAAUAUAUUUAUUGAUUUCAAAAUAAUAUUUUAUUGGAUCAGUUCUAAUUGUGGACCGGUCAAAGAAACUGAGGCAUACACGUCGACUGUGAUCUGGACCGGAAGGAGAACUUCUGCUUAAAGAACGGUGCUUAUUUAGCGGCUAAUCUCUGAAGAGAUGCCGUUUAGCCUGCUCUGCCUGCCACUGUAUGUCCGAAAGGCAAAAGUUAGAAUCGCUGUCCGAUCUCCUCUCCCCCGCCCCUACUGUAGAUCUAAUUGGAAGUGGCAGAUCUAGAACCGAUGAGUAGUGAGAUUACACUUCGAGCCAACUCCUUUGAACCAUGUUGAAAAGGACUCCAU
ensembl:lncRNA